UGCCUGUGGAACUUCUCCUCGCUGCUGCUCCUGUCAACCACGUGGCCAGACCUGCUGCCUGGUUCUGAGUCCUGUACCCCAGGAGAAUCCAUUUCAAUCCAGAUCAAAGAGACCAGAACAUACCCCAGAAGAGACCAAAAUGGGAAUAGUGAUCUUGUCACUCACUUGCACAGUGGAGAAAGCCUCACUAGGCUGAUGAUCUUCUGCUGCCCUUCCUGUACCUCUGCCAUGAAAAAGUCACACUCCAGAACUUUCAUCAGCUGAGGAAUUUAUACUAAUUUCUAAGCUACUUGCUUGUUUUGUGGCUUUCAGUAGCAGAGCAGUGGCAAGAUCUCACUAUGGACAUGAAAGAGAGAGGGUGAAUGAAACCAAAGGUUCGCAGACCUCCAGUGACCUGACUGAAGGUGAACGGAGCACCUACUCCCUUGUGGGCUAUGGACAACAAAAGUCAUUGAUAUGCACAACCUUUACUACCUUCCUGAGGCACCACGUCUUGAAGCAGAGCUUUGUGCUUCUUUUGCAGUCAGUUGCUUCUGUUAGCCAAGCUGCUGCAGGCAAAACACGUUAAGAGGUUUUUUUUUAUCAAGGCUGCAUUCCUGCCUUCUGUGUUAUUAAUAAAUGAGUAAAGAUAGCUUGUAGUAUU